rnacentral:misc_RNA from 1 species
GCUCAAUUUGUCUUCAUGGACCUGGUAUUGCUCAGCAUCUGUACAACGUAAUUUGUUUUACGGAAUUACAGUCUUGUAUUUUUGUCUACUACUAAAGGAUUUUAUGAUACUGUUUGGAUUUGGAUGAAUAUAUUGUACUGCACAUCAUAAGUUAUAACUUAUAACCAUCAUUCUUGAAUGAUAGCAACGAAUAACUUGUGAGUAAUCUUGAGGUCAAAAUCCAAUGGUAGCUAGUCCCAAAUCCCAAUUAAUGAGUAUUGAACGAAUUCUCAUAUUUUUUCCCUUCUCAUGUUUUUUCCUGUUUGACUUUUUUACAGAAUACAUAU